rnacentral:tRNA from 4 species
GGGGAGGUGCCCGAGCGGUUAAAGGGAACGGGCUGUAAACCCGUUAGCCGUAGUGCUUUCGAAGGUUCGAAUCCUUCUCUCCCCA